UCUGAAUUUGGUCCUGAUAAGUGAAGUAAGACACACAUCUCACCUCCUUUUUCAGACUGAGGUCUUUUAGGAGGAGUUAUGAGGACAGCCCACCUGUAACAACAUAGUAAACAUCAGUGGAGUAACGGGGUCACAAGUAUUCAGCCGAUGUCCUGUGACGCCUAGCUAGUGCCAUGUAUCUGAAGCUGUUUGCUUGCCACUGAAGAAAGAUUUAUGUCUUCAGCCAUGCAAAGUGAAAUAGCUGCAUUGUGGAGAAGAAGGCAAAUGUUUGCUUGUUCAAGUUUGGCUCUUAUUCAUCUCCCAGCUGACUAAAUCCAUGAAGAUAAACAUGGCCUGGCUUCCCUAGUUCAGCAAUGACUGCUUAUUGUCUUCGAAUAAAUACUGCAAUAUUAUUGCUCCAUACUUUCCUGGACACUGGCAGACUGUGAAAACAAGCUGAAGAGAUGCCAUAAGUCAUAACAUAUACAGUCCCGUUGUCAUUAACCCAGGGUAAAGGAAGAAAGAAGGAUUCAGAAGUCAACUUUGUUUUAACCCUUUGAAUUGUAAUUUUUAAAUUUUUUUAAACCUCCUCUAGACAUGAUUGACGUCUCCUAGGAGCUCCCUAUGCUUUCAUAGGUUAGGAAGCAUUAAGUAGUUGCACUUUCCACUGGCUGAGUCUAAUCACAUUCCUAUAGAUGAAGUUGGCUGCCCUGGACACCCAGAGCUGCCCAUUUAUCUUUUAAAAUGCAAUCUACACUUUUGUAGAUGAGCUCAUCUUGGGGAGUGGCAGAAAGAAGAGGACAAGAAUAGAGGAUGGAUUUUAGAAGAAACCAGCACAUGAUAACACUUGCAUUAAGGGCAUCAUAACAAGCUGCCCUAAAGAGGGCUAGAGAGGGGAUUGAAGGAACGUUAUAUUUAAGAAGCUAAUUUGCAUGUAGAUGAGGAAAAGCCACAAUGAAGAUUCUGAAUUGUCGAAGCCUAACUGGCAUUUAUAGCCACAUGAGAAGAAAAAAACCUGUCCUGCAAACCCUGAGUACAGUGGAGGUUUGAUGCUUUGAUGGUUGUUGAACAGCAACAAAUAUCAACUCAUCUGGAUCUCGA